GCCUGCUUGGUUUUGGUUAUCUAAGCUGCAAUAAGUAGCCUUGGGACCCCUGAAGGCACACCCCACACACUUACGCUGUGUGACCUCAGGUCACAAGUAAUGGCUGCAAGCUAAUUGAUUGAGAAAGGCUUGUCUGGCGGGGCCUCUCUGCGUCCACCCUUUACAUUCCUAACUUCUGUGAAAGAGGCACUGGCUGCUCAGCCUAGCAAGGCAGGAAAAAAGAGAGGAAGUUUCUCGUUCUGAUUACACUCCGAAUUCCCUUGUAGUGAGCUUUCUUCUCUCCACCCACUUCUCACCAAGAAGUCCUUAACGUGAAGGUGAACAACUUAAAGCCUGAUCCCAGAGAGUUAAGCGAAAAAUGAUUUGAGUAUUUAUUGAACUGAAAGAACAAAUUACCUACUUCAGGCUGUGGGGAGCGUGUGGAAAUUAUAUUAAAACUUCAGCAAAGUGCACAGCCGCAUAAUACAGAAGCCGGGACUCAGAUUGACAGGCAAAUAAGCCAGCUCGUGGAAGGGGCCUCUGGGUGGCAGCUCUGGGCUAUUGGGUGUUGGACAACUAUAGGCAAAACUGAAAUGGAACAGGGGCAGAAAAUAGCACACUUUUACGCUACGCAACCGUGGCUUUCGCAUGAUCUUCAAGAAUUUUACUGGGAUAACUAUCCAAAUGAAACUCUAAGAAUUCUAUCCAAAUGGACCUUGUUACUGCUUCUGAGAUCAAGGAAAGUCUUGAUGCCAAGAUUUGAACAGAGAAGAGAAUGAAAUGCACAGUAUGGGUAUUCUUGAAGACUAAUCAGAAAACGUUCAUGUGCCUAUAAUGGGAAAAACUUAACAUGGAUAUGAGAAGUGAAGAAAGUGAUCAUAGGAGAAAAUCACCUCAGAUCAACCACUUCAGAAGAACCAGAUUCCACUUCUGUGGCCAGGACUUUUAUGUUAUGGCUGGUCCGAUUGUUUUACCCUGCGUUCUAUGCUACUAAACCUUGGAUCAUUCCUAAAGUACAAAUUCUGUUCUCCAACCACAAACAAGGCUAAAAGAUCGGAGGAAAUUCAGUGAAUAUACAGGAUUGGGAUUGUGCAUUUUUCAAAAGUACUGAGCUUUCGAAUGCAACUAUAUAAGAAAUAGAAUCAUUUUUUUCUUAUGUUGCUAGCGUUUUAAGUUACAUGUUUAUUAAGUGGCAUUGCUCAUAUAGCUACAGAGUAUGCAUGGAAAUAUUUGCUGUCUGAAUAGUUUGGAGACUCAAAGAGAAAACUCAAGCUUCAGAGGUAUUAAAUUGUGACAUGCAAAAAAAGUUUUUGUUUUAUUCUUAACUGCAACAGUAUAUAUUGAAAUCAGAUUUAAAGUAUUAUGUGUCCUGGGCCCACCUUAACAGAUGUGCUGUAUAGAAGUCUAAUGGGAAGCAAAAUUUCAAUCAGGGUCCCAUUACUGGGAUAUAAUCCUUUUUUAAUGUAAUAGAGCUAUGGUGUUGCUGUACAAAUCUGCUAGAAACAGAUUUUAACCCAUUUGUAGUUUCUUUCUUUGGAUCUAAUGGAAUGACUCUUAACUGUUCAUUGUUUGUAUUGUUUCUCAUAUUCCUCAUUAUUUUAAGGUUUGUAAUUGGUUACUGUCGUGAAUAUUCAGCUCAUCCUAACUUUUAUAUAUCAUAUAUAUACAUAUACAUCUAUUUCUACGUAUAUAUUUUAAUUAGUAUUUAGAGGAAAAGUUUAACGGAACCCAUCUGUAAUUUGUAAGCUAGCCUUAUAACUAAAGAAGAAGAAUUCUACCGCAUCAAACCAGACUUUUCCUAGUCCCUGAGACCCUAACUUGUGAGGUAUUUUAGUAACAUCACAAGUCAGGCUCUUGGGACCUAGGCGGAGGGGAACCAGCAGCUUUGGACCUUAUUGAUUGUCUGCAGUUACCACCAGAACAAAAGAACAUGCAUAGAUUCUGCCUAGGAGAAAAAGAACAAUGCUCUUCUUUAUAAUCAGCAAUGUUUUCACCAGGACCCACCCCCAAAAAUACUAUUUUCAGAAACUGUACCCUAAAGUGAUUACAGAGUUUCACUGAAUCGCAUUUAUAUAAUAUUACAAUGACCAUAUAAAAGCAAUAUAUCUGUGUAAGAAGCAAUAUUAAAAUACAAGUGUUUUUAAAAUGCUUCUUUUGGUGUAUUUAAGGUGGCUGGUCUAAGAGAAUAUUUCCUUAUUUACUAAUGAAGAAAGUGGCUUAUAUUUUUAUAACUUUUUCAUAUGCAUAGAAUAUGUACAUUAGCUACUGAUAUAAAUCCUAUGUCUCCACGUAACUAUGGCUCAGAAUUUGCAAUAUAUAGCUAUAAUCAUGCUUGAGGCCUAGAAAUAAAAUGAUUUACAAUCCUCUUUACUGACCCUAUUAGAUUUUACUGUUGAUUUUAAAAGAAUGCUUCUUUAUAUUUGGUUUUUAUUGCCAGAGUUUCCCUUAGUUUUUUUUUUAAACCAGACAAAAUACCUUAUAUAUCUUAUUAUAUUAGGACAUUCUUUUGUUAUGAGUUUGAUUCAGAACUUAUAACAAUAAUUAGCCAAAAUAUGGUAGCUUUUAGUUUUUAUAUCUUAGUUUGAACAUACUAUGGACCUAUGUGAGAUAAACCAGAAAUAGCACCUAUAAAGUCAGAUUGCUCCAGUUCAUCUAUCAGCUGGAUCUGAAAUGCAGUUUUAGUUUUAUAAGAAUUUUAGUUUUAUAAGAGGUAACCAUUCCAACUAUAACUAAUGUGCCAUGUUUGAACAUUAUUAACCAUGACCACAUCAAAUAUGUAUUUUUUGGAAGUAGAAUUAAUAUAUUACAUCUAUUUAAAAUUUUUACCAAAAUGUUGCAGUUAUUAAGAUUCAAAAUAAAGAUGACAGACUUUCCAUUACAGAAGAAAGAAAGCAAUUUCAUUCUUUUAACUCUAAUGCUUUACAUGAGUACUAUAAAUUUGUCUUCUGCAUUGUUAAAGUAAAUUUAUGAAUGCAUUUUAGAACACUGUAUGAAGUCUUUGUUCAUCUUUUUAUUGAAUUUGUUACAGUUACUUAUGGUUUGAAAUAUCACAGAAUACAAAUUACCCAUGAGUUAUAUUUCUUUAAAAAUUGAAAUUGCAAUAUGGUAAACAUACUCCUCAUCCAUACAGGGCACAUAGAAUAUGUUUAAGCAUGUACUCACACUGUACCUAUUAGGGUUAUUUAUUUGUAUCACCUAUUUCAUUUCCCUAGAAUCUCUGCAAUUUUAAGUGUGUGCAUGUGUGUAUAAACAUAUGUUUCAAAACUCUAAAUGAAAGGAAAUAAUAUAAACAGUGAAGAUUUUGGUAGCAUUUAUCUUUUACUCCUUUUAACUUCAUUCUCAUUGUAAUUAAACAUUUUCUAAAAUAUAAGUUUUUCAGUACAAAGAACUCUAUAUGUAUCUACAAAGGAGUCUAUGUAUAUGUAUCUACAAAUACACAAAACUUGAUUAUAUUUAAUAUCAAUGUUUAUACAAUGGAUGAGAAACUACCUCAUAUAAAACAGUAUCACAUACAGGUAUAUUUUUAUAGACACCUGUUUAACAUAAUCAUGAAUAGUAUGUAUAAGAUGUUACCUCGAUUUAGUUCCAAAAUAAUAUAAAAGGUAAAUAUUCACUGGCUGUGGUGACAGGAGAUCUAAGCUUUUCCAAAUGCAACAGUUUCUUUUUGUGUUACCAUAUUAACGAACAGCACUAUACAUUAACUGCAAUUUCAUAAAAGCGAGAUACCAAAACCGAAUUUAGAAUGAAAUGAUGUUUACUUUCCCCAUAACCAUAUAAAAACAUAUAUUUUUUACUAAUCACAGUGCAUUCUUUGAACCCUCUCUGUGUGACUUUCCUAUAUAUGAACUCUUUUUCUGACAGCAACAUGAAUAAAGCUUUUCUCUGGCUCCAUAAAGGUGAGUAAAGCUGUAAGUGGGUGACUUUGUUUAUAGAAAUUUCUUUGUGCUGUAUCUAGAUAGAUGGAGGGCACUUUUUCUGCAUUUCUAUCGUAGCUGUCACAGAAUAAUAUUGUUUGGGGCUUCUAUAAUAUGAUUUGGAAAAUCAGAUCAUACUAAGCUUAAAAUAAAAGGAGAGAUCUACAACAAAGAGCGAGGAAAUGAUGUGUGUUGCAUACAAAAAAACUCAGUGAUAUUAACAAUUCGAUGGCUUCCUGGUUGGGGAACCAGCCUGAGCCAGACGCAUAUAUUAAGGGCUGUCUGCUGCUGAUGCGAGCUUGCUCAAUGCGGUGGAAAUGAGGAAUCACCUCCUCUCUGACACAAGCUUAUUUUUACAUUUUAAUUUUGAAAUAGCAAGUCACUGUUUUACAAAAGCAUACUAACCCUUUCCCUUUUCCUUUCUCACAUUGUUUGCUAAUGUACUAUGAACUUCGAGUUACUUUUAUUUAAAAUAUCAUGACUCACUUUAAACAUCUAUCAACAACCAAUGAAGUAUUAGUUUUUUCUUUUGUCCCUUUGCAUUGUUAUGGUAAUAGUAUGGUUCUCACUCUUUUAACUUUUAAUCUCUGUAAGGAAAACAUGAAUUUUCCAAAAAUAGCAUUUUUUAGGAUCCAACGAGGAAGCCACUUCUGGAAUUUUGCCAAAUCUAGAUAUAAUUACAUUUCAUUUCAAGGUUUAUGGGAUCCAUAUCUUUCUUAGUUUAAAAGCCCUUAACACUUGAGUGUUCCAGUGAAGCUACAGAAGAGGUGUAAAGAUAUUCUAAAGUCAUUUAAGCAUUAGUCCGCAUUAAUAAUGUUAAAGUAGGUGUAAGUAUCUCAGAGGAUUACAGUACAAAUUAAUUACUAAUGAAAUUAGGAAAGGUAUAUAGUACCUGAAAUUCCUCUUCAAAAGGAUGUGCUGUCACACAUGCCUGGGCUUGGUCAAAUUCACCUGGUAAAUAGGUAAAAGGUUUUACAAGCCACCCCAUUUGAAUCAGUUGCCAGAAGAGCAGUGCUUACAAGAUAGGCAUUUACCCAUGCAAGGCAGCACCCAUUUUUGUAAGCAGCAAAUGCAAUCAUCAUUUUUGUUACUUAGAUUACAUUACUUGAUUUCUUAAAUUAUUUAAUUCAGCACUAAAAUCACAGUGAUCUCUGAGUGUGGCAUUUGGAGAGGAAAACAAAGUUCCUAAUAGAAGUUUUUUAAGAUCCUGGGCAUUUCUAAGCAUUUGAAGUAUAGCUUUUAGUAUAGUUUUGCAACCUCCUGUUUAUUCUGCAGAAACUGAGGUAGUGUUAUUAUCUAUCAUCUCCAUAUUUUGCAUUCUGAUCUGUUAGUGACCAAACACACACUGAGGUUUUAUAUAAGUAUAAAUAUAUAUGUGUGUGUGUGUGAUAUAUAUAAAUAUAUAUAACAUAUUGAGAAUUCAUCUUAAAAUCAUCCACAACAUUUUUUUCAAUGAGCCAGCAUCAAUUUUUAUUAGAGAUUACUUUUUUAUCCAUACCUUCCAUUAAAUAUAGCUUUAUCAGAUGAGAUGCAUUACUAGCCAAUAAUAUGUAAUGGUUUUACAUGUGGAAGUUUAAAAGCAGGUAGAACUUGAAGAAAAUGGAGAUUAAAAGAAUUUUAAAUUCAAUAGUUUUAUUUUGUAUAAUCUGUCAUUCCAUGCAUAUUUUAUGAAGAACUUAAAAGUGAAAAAUUCUCAGAUGGUGAAAUAAAUGUUUUACUGUUGAUAUAAGUAAUGAGAUUUUAAGUUGUUACCUUAAUAAUUAAUUCCUUUAACAAACAAAACAAAUGUAAAAAUAAUCACAGAUUAUAUUUUUAGGUCAACUAAAUAAGAAGAAUAACUCUUAGGUUUUAUCUUGGUCUUUAAGGUUCUUUGGAGUGUUUUGGGUUAUUAUAUGUGGACAGAUUUAACCAUUCCUUUGCUCUAAGAAGUUUCUCCCUCUGUGUUGGUGGGCGUCUAACAGUUUGUGAUCACCAGGUGACUAUUGUGGAAUCACCUUUCCUUCCCUUUGAAUGAGCUUUUCCUAGACCAAGAGUCAACAUCACUAUUGUGUGCAUCCAAAUUGCUAGACCUUUCUUGAAACCCUCCUACAUAUUUUUUCUGGCCAUGUAAGUGAAUUGUGAGAAAUUAUUGAUUUACAUUGCGAUUAUCUUUCCAGUUUCCAAACAUCUUAAGUAAGAGAUUUGGGUGGUGUUGAAACACUAGCCAGCGGAAGCAUUAGGUUUUAUAGGAUUUAAAAAUGUAAUGUCUUUCUCAUAGGAGACUUCCUAUUCUUAGCGGGGAGGGCGAGAACCAGGCCGUGGCUAAGUUAUUACUCUGUUAUACAUCACACUAAAUUAAGCCCAGCCUGUGCAUUUGUAAACCUCAGGGAGGUUUCCACAUUAGACAGCAUUUUUUGUUGGGGGAUUACACCACAGUCGGUGCCCUUCACUUCUCUCUCUCUUCCUGGCCCCCCUCCACCCAACAUGGAGCCUUUUCAACUUCUUCAAAGAAGUGGAGGAAAAAAGUAGACUCUUUAUUAAUGGCAAAAAACAAACUGGCUGCUAGACUUCCGAGACAGCCCUCUAAUAAUAAAGCAGAGUAGGCCCUGUGACAAAGAAUUUCUGAAUGUACUAAAUAUAUAAGGAAGCCUAUUUAAAUUCACCAGAGGGGCUUAGAGGACAAGCAGCAGAAAGUUUAGAAUUCAAUUCAAGCCAUGCCAGAAAAUGAAAAUGUACUUAAAAAAGGAUUUCUGAAACAAUUGUUCAAAGACAUGUCAACUUUUAAGGUUCUUUCUAGAAUAAUGAAAUUCGUACUCUAAUUUCUGUGGUGACUUUUUCAAUUAGAAGGAAAAGUGAUUAACAGGAUCUCAAAGGACUUGUAUCUUACGUUUAAAGAAAACGCAUUUUCUUUCCAUGGGGUGUGCUCCAGCGAGGGCCAUUAGUGCACUGACUAAAAUCACCCGACUAUAUACACAGGACAAAGAGAUGAUGUAUUUUUUUCAGCAAUUAGACAUAUAACAAAAUUGCUCUUCCUGCUCUGGAAGAAAGAUACUUAACUUGUAUGUUCUUUUUAGUUAAUGUUCUGCUAUUCAAUUCUGUGAUUUAUUUUUUAAAUAAAUGUAAUGAAGUAAAUAUGAAAGAUCAAAUCAUCGAUAAAUAAUGGGAUUAUGUAACACUAAGUUUGGAAGAUCAAAAUACGAUCCCUACCUUGUCUUUUACUGACUUUAGAAAAUUAUCUUUACUUUUAUUUAUCUGGAAGGCAUGCUUUUAUAAGGGCACCCACAUCUGUAAGAAUAUAUACCUUCUUAGUCCUAAUAUUGAGAUAAAGGACUGCGUAUAAAGUUCACAUGAAGACCAGGGAUGAAAUUCCUAGCUGGCUUUUCUUAAUGUCUUCGUUUAGAAUCCACAUGGAUAUUGGGAAAAGAUUGUGAUUCUUUGUCUCAGGGAUUACAAGUUAUAAAGAAGUCAGAAACUUCAACUCAUUGCUGACACAUCUUUGUUGCUAUUUCAGAGAUUCAGCUUGAGAAUGAAGCCCACGUGGAAUUCACCAGUUCAUAAAUAUAAUUUAUCUACUCAAACCACUGACUCAUUAAUUCAUCUAUUUAUUCACAAGUGUAUAUCCAACGUUAGAAAAGGACUCGGUGAAUUAAGGUUGCAUCAACACGUGAGAUCUCUAUGACCAAUUAAAACUUGAUCAUUUAACAAAAUUUGACUUUAAAAUUAAGUAUCAGAAGUAUGAGUAUUAGUUAUAGAUAUUAAUCAUUUAACAAUAAAGAGCAGUUAUUGCCCUCACUACAAAUAGAUGUGGCCUAGGUCAUGCAACUGAACUGGUUUCCAUUUGUUUAAGCUGCAAUGGCAUUUUAAUAUCAAGGACUUCCAUAGGUUUAAUUGUUGAUCAGCGAAAUAAUCCAAGUAGUUUAUUACCCCAGUUCCUAGCACAUGCAGAAAAAAUUAACUUAUUUUUUAUUAGCUUAUUUUUUUUCCUUUUGGGUUAGUACUUGCUUUUGUUAAAGGGAGAAUAUUUUACUUAGCAGAAUUUAAGGAUGAGUCAGACAUCAUUAGAAAAUCACUUCUGCUUCAGGAACUCAAAAAUCAUUUACUGUAAAUGUCUUUAUUAUAUAUUUCCUGUGUAUCAACGAUAGGAAAGAUAAAGAGAAAUUCUUCCAUUUGCCAACAUGUUUUGUCCCUUUUGUGUGAUUUAGCUUUAUACAAAUCCUGUAAUUUGGCAAUUUUACUUUUCAUAUUUUAUAGAUAACAUUCUAAGUGGUUUAUCCUAUUUUCUAGUUGCAGAUGCGAUAACCUACCUACAUAAUUUGAGUUGCUUUGGACAAGAUAUAGGUAGGGUAUUGCUGGAAUUUUGCAGUGCCUUGAUUUUCUUCAAAUUAUUUCCUAUACUACACAAAUGUCUUUAAAAACCAUAGACAAACCAUGAAUAGUAAUAACUGUGGUUUAUGAAACUUGUUUUUCCAGAAUAAUUGAACCAAUGUGUAGUAUAUACAUAGGAUUUCUAUCCCUCUAAAAAUCAUUUAAUUUCUUUUUUUUUAAGUUGAAUAUAACAAUAUUGAUCAUACAGUUUCAUGAAGUGGCAAUUACAUUAACUA